ACCAGUUCAUAAACCACCAAGAUAUCCUCCUAAACCAUCACCUUGUCCACCCCCAUCAUCAACACCAAAACCACCUCAUCAUCCCAAACCCCCAGCAGUACACCCACCACAUGUUCCAAAACCACAUCCACCUUAUGUUCCAAAACCACCAAUUGUUAAACCUCCAAUAGUACAUCCACCUUACGUACCAAAACCCCCAGUUGUGAAACCACCACCAUAUGUCCCUAAACCACCUGUUGUGAGACCACCCUAUGUUCCUAAACCACCAGUUGUACCUGUAACACCACCUUAUGUUCCUAAGCCACCAAUUGUUUUCCCACCACAUGUUCCUCUACCUCCAGUUGUACCAUCACCACCACCUUAUGUACCAACACCUCCAAUUGUGAAACCACCAAUUGUUUUUCCACCACAUGUUCCUCUACCUCCAGUUGUGCCUGUAACACCACCUUAUGUGCAACCACCACCUAUUGUAACUCCACCAACACCAACACCUCCAAUUGUGACACCACCAACACCACCUAGUGAAACACCUUGUCCUCCACCACCACUUGUACCUUAUCCACCACCAC
rnacentral:lncRNA from 1 species